GGGGAAUAUUGCACAAUGGGGGAAACCCUGAUGCAGCAACGCCGCGUGAAGGAUGAAGGUUUUCGGAUUGUAAACUUCUUUAGUCAGGGACGAAUAAAUGACGGUACCUGAAGAAUAAGCCACGGCUAACUACGUGCCAGCAGCCGCGGUAAUACGUAGGUGGCGAGCGUUGUCCGGAAUUACUGGGUGUAAAGGGUGUGUAGGCGGGGAUGCAAGUCAGAUGUGAAAUCCAUGGGCUCAACCUAUGGUGUGCAUUUGAAACUGCGUUUCUUGAGUGUGGGAGAGGUAAGCGGAAUUCCUAGUGUAGCGGUGAAAUGCGUAGAUAUUAGGAGGAACACCAGUGGCGAAGGCGGCUUACUGGACCACAACUGACGCUGAGACACGAAAGCGUGGGGAGCAAACA
rnacentral:rRNA from 2 species